rnacentral:rRNA from 1 species
GAUGAACGCUAGCGGCAGGCUUAACACAUGCAAGUCGAGGGGCAGCAUGAGGGUUAGCAAUAACCCUUGAUGGCGACCGGCGCAAGGGUGCGUAACGCGUGAGCAACUUGCCCGUUUCAGGGGGAUAACCGGUGGAAACGCCGACUAAUACCCCAUAGCAUCAGUUGAAGGCAUCUUCUACUGAUUAAAGAAUUUCGGAAACGGAUAGGCUCGCGUGACAUUAGCUAGAUGGCGGGGUAACGGCCCACCAUGGCGACGAUGUCUAGGGGUUCUGAGAGGAAGGUCCCCCACAUUGGAACUGAGACACGGUCCAAACUCCUACGGGAGGCAGCAGUGAGGAAUAUUGGUCAAUGGACGGAAGUCUGAACCAGCCAAGUCGCGUGAAGGAUGAAGGUUCUAUGGAUUGUAAACUUCUUUGUCUGAGGUAAAAAGGCCACGUGUGGCUUCUUGCAAGUAUCAGACGAAUAAGCAUCGGCUAACUCCGUGCCAGCAGCCGACGG